rfam:Struthio camelus australis contig15011, whole genome shotgun sequence.
GGAAUAUUCUGAGAGUUGUAGUCUUUCAAACAGAGCUUCGCAAGGACAUACCUGUAUUGGAACACUACAGCUCCCUGAACUUCC